rnacentral:tRNA from 1 species
CAAAUCAAAGCUUAAAUUAGCAUUAUUAUUUACAUUAAUAAGAUGAUUAUUAAAUUAGUCUGGUUUGA